UAGAAUCAGUGCUCAGCUGAGGCGCAACCCACACUGGCGGCAUUUUGGCAUUGCGAGGACCUCCUGAGGGGCCAGAGCUGGACCAUUUUCACAGAUGAAACUCAGCCAAGCUGUUUAAUGCUUCCUUCGUAUGUUUGGAAAAGUAAUAAAAGGUCCACAGGAACAUCCAAGGCUCAAGUUUUGAAUGUCUACAUGUCAUGAAGUUAACUGGAAAAAAAAAAAAAAAAAGAAGUUAACUGGCACUAGUGGAAUGUCGAUUACUGAAGAUGAACCCCUAGACACAUUCAGCAAGACAUUCAACUUGCAGAAGGCAGGGAAUUUGGAGUGGUACACAAUCAGAUAACAAGGUUUCAAGCUCUAGUCGAAGACAAGAUGAUAUUAUACCUAAAUAACAAUUUCUAAGGAACUUGAAUAACAAUCUCUAAGGACUCUUGUCACUAUAUGAAGAACUUAAGUUAAUGGCUCCAUAAUCUUAAUUAAAAGGACAGCCAUUUAAUCAAUUUUCUGCAGUGAAUUAUUAGACUAACUUCCUAGCAUCUGGAGAUUACAGUAUGUUCCACCUUGAAGCUAUCACAAUCAAGACUAUUACCUGACAUGCAUUCAACAAAUAUUCGAUGACAAACAAAGUAUAAGGUUAAUUAAUUAUAAGGUUACAGAAAGUUAGGUCUCCUAACACCUAAGUGUUAAGUGGACUCAAUGUUGAACCUUUUUGAGUGCCAACAUGACACUCAAAGGAAAUGCUCAUGAACAUUUCAGAUUUCAGAUUUGGGAUGCCCAACUGGUAAGUAUAACACAAAUAUUCCAAACUUUGAAAAAAAUUAUGAAAUCUGAAAUACUUCUUGUCCCAAGCAUUUUUUGGAAAAGGGAUACUCAACCUGUACCUUAUAACUUCCUUAUAACUUUUGGCUCUACCACUUCUAUCCCUAUAUGGAAGCUGAAGUAUGUUAUUACUGCUGUUACAUGACUAUUUUUCUACAUUGUGGUUCUAUUUCUGCUAAAUUAUUCUUACAGUCUUUAUCAAUUUAAGUUUUUUAAAAAACUGCCUUUUUAGAACUCUGAAACAGUAUUUAAAAAUUAAAUUAAAAAAAUUUUAAGUUUUGUUCAUCAUAUACAAUACAAUUCUGAUAUAUGAUGUUAGACAAAUUAUUAGCCAGGUAAUUUCUGUUCACCUAGUAUCAAUGCUAUAAAGAGCUUCAAGUGAACUUUCUUUAGUGAGAUGAGUUUCAAUGAUCCUAAAGAUGGUAAAUGAACCAUUAUUUGUGUGUCUAAAGUGUGUACUCUUAAGAAAUUAUCCAUAAAUCAAAAACAAAAAUUUAAGCAAUUGUUAAAUAUAAUGUUAACAGGAACAUUGAGCAAUAAAUUGAAACUUUUAAAUUUAACUCAUAUCUGCUUAGUUUUUUAUUUAGUUAAGUAUAAAGGCCCAGUUAAUUAAUCAAUUCAUUAGAUUGGUCAAGGCAUGACACUUGAACUACACAAUAGGAUUUAAAAAGCAGUUGGUUUUUUUAGUAGUUCUCUGGUAAUCACACGCACAUACACACAUACACAAAAAUUUGUAGAGUACUCUGAAUAUAGGAUUUCCCCCAUAAUCUUGCAUCUGCUGUAUUUUGUAAACUAUAUAAACUGGACAUGGCCAAAUUAGAGAUGUCUGAUAAACUCUUAUAAAGUAUUUGGGAACUUCAACUGGAUUCCCAAAGGAUGAAUUU
rnacentral:lncRNA from 1 species